GCGGUACUCCCUGGUAGGCCGCACUACCCCUGGAGUGAACCGCUGUUGCUGAGGCGAGGUCAGGGGCUCUCUCAAGGCCGACAGGGCAGAAGAGAAGUUGAACACCCCAGUAAAGAGCUUCAGGAAGGAACAAGCUACAGGUCAUUCCCAGCUCCACGAUUUUUUAAUCCAAAGAAGCUUCUACCAACAUGAUUCUCACUUGUGUUCGUACCGAGAGACAAGAUCCGCGCAACUACAGCGGGUUUGAAACCGGUUUCGGCGGUCUGUGUCGGGCUGAGCGAGGCCGCCCUGCGGCUUGGCUGCCAGCAGCCGGGCAGGCCCAGGAGAGGCGCAAUUUCUCACUGCUGCUGCUCACGCUUUGGUCUUCCAAACUAUGCGAGCCGGUUGCUAGAGCAUGUUCUGGUUUAAACCGGGGUGAACCUGGUAACUGGCUUCCCUCUACUGCCCACUGUCUGCUCUCUCCUUUCUCCUCCCUUCCGGAGUUCUAGCAGGACACGCAAACACUCAGCUAGCGUGGCCCCAGCUUCUCCUGCCACAAGCAGCAGCCAUGUGACUCAGGUUUCCACUGAUUGGGGUACACGCCGAAGUGCUAUGUGAACUUUCCAGUUCAGGAAGCUGGCUGCCCCUCUUUCUUCUUUCCUCAUCUCUGCCAGCUGGCAUGUGGAUGUGGCGGUGCUGAAAUGAUGUCAUCCACGCAGACAAGGAUAGCAUCCUAAGGCAGCGGUUCUCGAACUUUAGCGAGCCUUGGAGUCCCUCGGAGAGCUCGUUAAAACAGAUCGCUGGGCCCCGUCACCAGAAAUUCUGAUUCAGUGGGUCUGAAUCCUUUCUAACCUGUUUCUAAGAGAUGUUGAUGCCGCUGGUCAGGGACCACACUUUGGACACGUCUGUCCUAAGGGGUGGGGGAGCACUGAGGAGAUCCCUGGAUUUCUGGAUUACCUGGUGUACUAGAUCUGCCUUCCACCUGGAUUGUUCAUUUACCAUUGUGAGAGAUAAAUGAAUUAUUUAUUUUUUGAACCUUCAUAGUUUUGGUUCUCCUUGUUAUAUCAGCUUUAUAUACAGCCGCUAAUUGAUGUUAUGGAAUUUCACCUUUACCAAAGGAGUAGUAUGGUGUAGGGGUUGAGAAUGGAGCAAUGGGUUUGAAUCCCAGUUGUGCCACUUCCUAGCUCUGUGAUCUUGGGCAAGUUAUUUAACUUACCUGGUUAAAAAAAUCACUUACCAAAUUAUUUUUG
rnacentral:lncRNA from 1 species